rnacentral:tRNA from 2 species
GGCGGCGUAGCUCAGUUGGUUAGAGCACAGCAUUCAUAACGCUGAGGUCGGUGGUUCAAUUCCACCCGCCGCUA